rnacentral:lncRNA from 1 species
GACUUCAAUCAAAACUCUUAGCAUGUAGUAUUAUUCUGCCCCGGCCGAAUUGUUGUUAACACGUUAACAACACUGGAGACUUAUUCCCUUGUGUGACAAAAUAUUCUUUUAUGCGAGUUGUAUUUCUAUUCUUCUUCUUCAAUAUCCGGUUCCUCUGGUUGCCACAGUUCAUACCAUGACAGUAAUUCACGAUAUUCUUUUCUUAACUGGCAUUCCAUUCCAUAAUUUGGCUUAAGUAGCCUUCCUACUUCUUUUGAUAUUAUACUAUUCCUUCCAUAAUAUUCUCGUAGAAAUAUUUUUGUUAUUUUGUUUUGAUACAUCAUAUGGUACUCAGUAUUGAAUUUAGUAUUUCCUUCUAUUUCUUUUGCUUCAUUGAAAAUUCUCCAAUUAUCAUGAUUAUUUUUGGCACGUAUUUCUUCAAAAUUGUACCAUGUUUCUGAAGACCAUUCGUAGGGAAUUUAUACAAACCUUUUAUAAUAUAUAUAUAUCAUGACUUGCUGGUCUUAAUGGUAUUGUAAAUUUUGGUGGGUUAGAAAAGUAUUUUAUUUUAUAUUUUCCUUGAACACACGCCAAUCUUUUACAUGCUUCCUUAAUAGCCUUUCCUAAAUCAGAUUGAAGUAU